CCAAUAGCGUAUAUUAAAGUUGUUGCAGUUAAAAAGCUCGUAGUUGAAUUUCGGAAUCAGUACGCCGGUCGUUCCUCCGGUAUGAACUGGUGUCACUGGUUCCUCCCUUCUGAAGAACCAUCAUGCCAUUCACUUGGUGUGGUGGGAAAUCAGGACUGUUACUUUGAAAAAAUUAGAGUGUUUAAAGCAGGCUCACGCUUGAAUACAUUAGCAUGGAAUAAUGAAAUAGGAUGUUGAUCUUAUUUUGUUGGUUUCUAGGAUUGACGUAAUGAUUAAUAGGGAUAGUUGGGGGCAUUAGUAUUCAAUUGUCAGAGGUGAAAUUCUUGGAUUUAUUGAAGACUAACUACUGCGAAAGCAUUUGCCAAGGAUGUUUUCAUUAAUCAAGAACAAAAGUUAGGAAAUCGAAGACGAUCAGAUACCGUCAUAGUCUUAACUAUAAACUAUGCCGACUAGGGAUCGGAUGAUGUUAUUUUUUUAUGACUCAUUUGGCGCCUUACG
rnacentral:rRNA from 1 species